rnacentral:rRNA from 1 species
UACGAAGGGUGCAAGCGUUACUCGGAAUUACUGGGCGUAAAGCGCGCGUAGGUGGUUUGUUAAGUUGGAUGUGAAAGCCCCGGGCUCAACCUGGGAACUGCAUUCAAAACUGACAAGCUAGAGUAUGGUAGAGGGUGGUGGAAUUUCCUGUGUAGCGGUGAAAUGCGUAGAUAUAGGAAGGAACACCAGUGGCGAAGGCGACCACCUGGACUGAUACUGGCACUGAGGUGCGAAAGCGUGGGGAGCAAACAGG